ACCGGCGGCCCGAGUGGUGAUCGUGAUUAUUGGGUCUAAAGGGUCCGUAGCCGGUUUGGUCAGUCCUCCGGGAAAUCUGAUAGCUCAACUAUUAGGCUUUCGGGGGAUACUGCCAGACUUGGAACCGGGAGAGGUAAGAGGUACUACAGGGGUAGGAGUGAAAUCUUGUAAUCCCUGUGGGACCACCUGUGGCGAAGGCGUCUUACCAGAACGGGUUCGACGGUGAGGGACGAAAGCUGGGGGCACGAACCGGAUUAGAUACCCGGGUAGUCCCAGCCGUAAACGAUGCUCGCUAGGUGUCAGGCAUGGCGCGACCGUGUCUGGUGCCGCAGGGAAGCCGUGAAGCGAGCCACCUGGGAAGUACGGCCGCAAGGCUGAAACUUAAAGGAAUUGGCGGGGGAGCACAACAACGGGUGGAAGCCUGCGGUUUAAUUGGACUCAACGCCGGACAACUCACCGGGGGCGACAGCAAUAUGUAGGCCAAGCUGAAGACUUUGCCUGAAUCGCUGAGAGGUGGUGCAUGG
rnacentral:rRNA from 1 species